rnacentral:rRNA from 1 species
AGUGAACGCUGGCGGUAGGCCUAACACAUGCAAGUCGAACGGCAGCACAGUAAGAGCUUGCUCUUACGGGUGGCGAGUGGCGGACGGGUGAGCAAUACAUCGGAAUCUACUUUUUCGUGGGGGAUAACGUAGGGAAACUUACGCUAAUACCGCAUACGACCUACGGGUGAAAGCAGGGGAUCUUCGGACCUUGCGCGAUUGAAUGAGCCGAUGUCGGAUUAGCUAGUUGGCGGGGUAAAGGCCCACCAAGGCGACGAUCCGUAGCUGGUCUGAGAGGAUGAUCAGCCACACUGGAACUGAGACACGGUCCAGACUCCUACGGGAGGCAGCAGUGGGGAAUAUUGGACAAUGGGCGCAAGCCUGAUCCAGCCAUACCGCGUGGGUGAAGAAGGCCUUCGGGUUGUAAAGCCCUUUUGUUGGGAAAGAAAAGCAGCAGGUUAAUACCCCGCUGUCCUGACGGUACCCAAAGAAUAAGCACCGGCUAACUUCGUG